rnacentral:rRNA from 1 species
UGGGGAAUAUUGGACAAUGGGCGAAAGCCUGAUCCAGCCAUGCCGCGUGUGUGAAGAAGGUCCUCGGAUUGUAAAGCACUCUAAGCGAGGAGGAGGGUACUGGUAUUAAUACUACCAGGUACUGGACGUUACUCGCAGAAUAAGCACCGGCUAACCCUGUGCCAGCAGCCGCGGUAAUACAGAGGGUGCGAGCGUUAAUCGGAUUUACUGGGCGUAAAGCGUGCGUAGGCGGCUAAUUGAGUCGGAUGUGAAAUCCCCGAGCUUAACUUGGGAAUUGCCUUCGAUACUGGUUAGCUAGGGUGUGGGAGAGGAUGGUAGAAUUCCCGGUGUAGCGGUGAAAUGCGUGGGGGUCUUGUGGAAUACCGAUGGCGAAGGCAGCCAUCUGGCCUAACACUGACGCUGAGGUACGAAAGCAUGGGGAGCAAACAGG